rnacentral:rRNA from 1 species
GCGGCGUGCUUAACACAUGCAAGUCGAACGAAGCAUUUAGGAUUGAAGUUUUUCGGAUGGAUUUUCUAUAUGACUGAGUGGCGGACGGGUGAGUAACGCGUGGGGAGCCUGCCCUAUACAGGGGGAUAACAGCUGGAAACGGCUGCUAAUACCGCAUAAGCGCACAGAAUCGCAUGAUUCAGUGUGAAAAGCCCUGGCAGUAUAGGAUGGUCCCGCGUCUGAUUAGCUGGUUGGUGAGGUAACGGCUCACCAAGGCGACGAUCAGUAGCCGGCUUGAGAGAGUGAACGGCCACAUUGGGACUGAGACACGGCCCAAACUCCUACGGGAGGCAGCAGUGGGGAAUAUUGCACAAUGGGGGAAACCCUGAUGCAGCGACGCCGCGUGAGUGAAGAAGUAUUUCGGUAUGUAAAGCUCUAUCAGCAGGGAAGAAAACAGACGGUACCUGACUAAGAAGCCCCGGCUAACUACGUGCCAGCAGCCGCGGUAAUACUUAGGGGGCAAGCGUUAUCCGGAAUUACUGGGUGUAAAGGGUGCGUAGGUGGCAUGGUAAGUCAGAAGUGAAAGCCCGGGGCUUAACCCCGGGACUGCUUUUGAAACUGUCAUGCUGGAGUGCAGGAGAGGUAAGCGGAAUUCCUAGUGUAGCGGUGAAAUGCGUAGAUAUUAGGAGGAACACCAGUGGCGAAGGCGGC